GUUCAAGAUGCUUUUAUCCUUUUGACCGCCACACCUCAAAUCCAUUCCCGUGCCCUGUACGCCAAGGCAUAAAAUAAACUAAAAUACCUACGAAAAAAAUAGUGCUGCCAAGAG